UACGAAGGGGGCUAGCGUUGUUCGGAAUUACUGGGCGUAAAGCGCACGUAGGCGGAUAUUUAAGUCAGGGGUGAAAUCCUGGAGCUCAACUCCAGAACUGCCUUUGAUACUGGAGAGCUUGAGUCCGGGAGAGGUGAGUGGAACUCCGAGUGUAGAGGUGAAAUUCGUAGAUAUUCGGAAGAACACCAGUGGCGAAGGCGGCUCACUGGCCCGGUACUGACGCUGAUGUGCGAAAGCGUGGGGAGCAAACAGG
rnacentral:rRNA from 1 species